AAUAAACGCUGGCGGCGUGCUUAACACAUGCAAGUCGAGCGAGAAAGGUCUUCGGACUGAGUACAGCGGCAGACGGGUGAGUAACGCGUAGGAAUCUACCUUUUAGUGGAGAAUACUCUCGAGAAAUCGAGCUUAAUACUGCAUAUGUCUUGAAAAAGAGAAAGAUGGCCUCUUUGCUGUCGCUAAAAGAUGAGCCUGCGUACUAUUAGCUAGUUGGUAGGGUAAUGGCCUACCAAGGCGAUGAUGGUUAGCCGGCCUGAGAGGGUGUACGGCCACACUGGAACUUAGACACGGUCCAGACUCCUACGGGAGGCAG
rnacentral:rRNA from 1 species